CAGUCGCCGCGGUAAUACGUAGGUGGCAAGCGUUGUCCGGAAUUAUUGAGCGUAAAGGGCUCGCAGGCGGUUUCUUAAGUCUGAUGUGAAAGCCCCCGGCUCAACCGGGGAGGGUCAUUGGAAACUGGGAAACUUGAGUGCAGAAGAGGAGAGUGGAAUUCCACGUGUAGCGGUGAAAUGCGUAGAGAUGUGGAGGAACACCAGUGGCGAAGGCGACUCUCUGGUCUGUAACUGACGCUGAGGAGCGAAAGCGUGGAGAGCGAACAGGAUUAGAUACCCCGGUAGUCCCUGUCUCUUAUAC
rnacentral:rRNA from 1 species